rnacentral:rRNA from 1 species
ACCCGCUGAAUUUAAGCAUAUAACUAAGCGGAGGAAAAGAAACCAACUCGGAUUCCCCUAGUAACGGCGAGUGAAGCGGGAAGAGCUCAUGUUGUAAAUCUGGAUGAGGGUUCCUCGUCCCGAAUUGUAGUCUAGAGAUGCGUGCUCAGCUACUCUCCAGGGCUAAGUCUGUUUGUGAAAGACAGUGUCAUGGACGGUGAUAACCCGGUUCUUGCCUUGGAUGUUGUAGCGUUUUGAGCCGUCCUCAACGAGUCGAGUUGCUUGGGAUUGCAGCUCUAAGUGGGUGGUAAAUUCCAUCUAAAGCUAAAUAUUGGUGGGAGACCGAUAGCGAACAAGUACCGUGAGGGAAAGAUGAAAAGAACUUUGAAAAGAGAGUUAAAUAGUACCUGAAACUGCUGAAAGGGAAGCGAAUGAAGUCAGUGUUGCUCUUUGUGCUCUGCAUCCUCCCUGCGGGGAUUGUGUAUCGAGGACUUUGAGCUUGUCAGGAUGAGUUCUCUGCCGCGGGAUAUGUUUUGUAUGCUGGAUGCUUUUUGCGGAACAUACAUUCUCUGUCGUGGCUUGGACUGAGGUUCCAUCUUGCCGUUGCCUGUGCGUUCCUCUCCCGUUGCUGUCUCUGUUCUACUGCUUGCAGUGCUCAGUUGCAGUAGUUGGACUGUGCGUAUUAUGCAUGCAAGGUCAGGAUCCUGACGAAAUGGCUUUAUUUACCCCGUCUUGAAACACGGACCAAGGAGUCUAACAUACGUGCGAGUACUUUGGUGACAAACCAAUGUGCGCAAUGAAAGUAAAGGCUGGCUUCCGUCAGCUCAGGUGGGAUCCGUUUGGAGCACCAUCGACCGACCAUUAUGCCUUCGGGCUAAAGGUUUGAGUGUGAGCAUUUAUGUUGGGACCCGAAAGAUGGUGAACUAUGCCUGAAUAGGGCGA